GUGCUAGCUUCAGCAGCACAUAUACUAAAAUUGGAAUGAUACAGAGAUUAGCAUGGCCCCUGUGCAAGAAUGACACAUUAAUUCACUAGCCAAUCUAUAUUUUG
ensembl:snRNA U6 U6 spliceosomal RNA